AUGCCUUGCUCCCGUCGACGUCGACCCGGAAGCUGUCGCCGGCGGCCGGCCGGCGGUCAGCCUUAACACCGGCCGGGCUGCGGAGCGCGGUCGCCCAGGUUUGCGGCGGCAGCGGGCCGAGGCCAGCGGAGAGGACCUGGAUGAGCCCACUUCAGGUCGGGGCUGAGUGUGGGCGCGCGGCUCCCGGCGGCGUGUGACCCAGUCUCUGCCGGCCGCUGCCCUCUGCGUGUGUAAGUGUCCGUGGGCCCCAGGGCCCUGCACCGCCCGCCCCGAGGCCGCGAAGAGGCCUUCCGCCUGGGGCAGUAUGAAGGCCGCGGAGUUUUCCUCCAAAGCCGCACCUCGGCUGGAAGGGGCGAGUUCGAGGGCUCUGUUAGUGUCAGCAAUGGGGAGACGCGGAGCUGCCGCUGUCGCUUUGCAGUGUCUGUAGGACUUUGAUGGCCCGGAGCCCCGGUUCCCUGGAGAACACCCAGAUCGCCCCGUAGGAGACACAGUUCAUGCCCCCCUUCCCGAACUCUGAAGUAAAAUCUUGAGGGCUGUCAUCUGGGGAAGCCACCUUGUCCCUUCAGCCAUGAAGACAGAAACAGUACCACCGUUCCAGGAGACUCCAGCUGGAUCCGGCUGUCACCUCAAUAGCCUGUUGAGUAGCCGGAAGCUGAUGGCUGUGGGGGUCUUGCUUGGCUGGCUCCUGGUCAUACACCUUCUGGUCAAUGUGUGGCUGCUGUGCCUUCUGUCUGCAUUGCUAGUGGUGCUGGGAGGAUGGCUGGGCUCCAGCGUCGCUGGAGCGGCUUCGGGUCGACUGCAUCUGGAACGCUUCAUCCCAUUGGCCACCUGUCCUCCAUGCCCUGAGGCAGAAAGGCAGCUGGAACAGGAGAUCAACCGCACCAUCCAGAUGAUUAUUCGAGAUUUUGUGUUAUCCUGGUACCGUUCCGUGAGCCAGGAGCCAGCCUUUGAGGAGGAAAUGGAGGCAGCCAUGAAAGGGUUGGUCCAGGAGCUUCGGAGAAGGAUGAGCAUGAUGGACUGUCGUGCUCUUGCCCAGAGUGUUCUGACUCUCUGUGGUUGUCACCUGCAGAGCUACAUUCAGGCAAAGGAGGCCACUGCAGGGAAGAAUGGUCCCGUUGAGCCUUCUCACCUCUGGGAGGCUUACUGCCGGGCUACUGCCCCACAUCCUGCUGUGCACAGCCCCAGUGCUGAAGUCACCCAUACACGUGGCGUUGUGAAUUUGUUGCUUCAAGGGCUGGUGCCCAAGCCCCACUUGGAGACUCGUACCGGACGCCAUGUAGUGGUCGAACUGAUCACAUGCAAUGUAAUCUUACCACUGAUCAGCAGACUGUCAGAUCCUGACUGGAUCCACCUUGUGCUCGUGGGUAUCUUUUCCAAGGCCAGAGAUCCAGCACCCUCCCCAGCCAGUGCCCCCGAACAGCCCUCAGUGCCCACAUCUCUGCCACUGAUUGCUGAGGUAGAGCAGCUUCCAGAAGGGAGAACUUCUCCAGUAGCAGCCCCAGUAUUUCUAAGUUACAGUGAGCCAGAGGGUCCUGCAGGCCCCUCCCCAGAGGUUGAAGAAGGCCACGAAGCUGUGGAGGGAGAUUUGAGUGGGAUGUGUGAAGAAAGAAAAGUGGGAAACAACUCAUCUCAUUUCCUACAGCCAAAUCUUCGAGGUCCCCUGUUCUUAUGUGAAGACUCAGAGCUGGAGUCUCCGCUGUCUGAACUGGGCAAAGAAACCAUCAUGCUCAUGACUCCAGGCCACUUUCUCUCUGACAGGAUUCAGGAUGCCCUGUGUGCCCUAGAGGGUUCCCAGGCUCUGGAAGCCAAAGAUGGUGAGGCAUCUGAAGGAGCAGAGGCUGAGGAGGGUCCAGGGACAGAAACAGAGACAGGCCUGCUGGUCUCCACACUGAAUUCCUACCCAGAGAUCCAGAUCGACACAGCAGACAAGGAGAUAGAACAAGGAGAGGUUACCACCUCUGUUACAGCUUUGCUGGAAGGGCCAGAAAAGACCUGCGCCUCUCGGCCCUCAUGCUUAGAGAAGGAUCUCACCCAUGAUGUGCGCUCCCUUGAUCCUACUCUGCCACCAGUUGUGCUUUCCUCCUCUCCACCUGGUCCUCUCAGCUCUGCCACCUUCAGCUUUGAGCCCCUAAGCAGUCCAGAUGGCCCAGUUAUCAUCCAGAACCUUCGUAUCACUGGCACCAUUACAGCCCGAGAGCACAGUGGCACUGGAUUCCACCCAUACACACUCUAUACUGUGAAGUACGAGACAGCCCUUGAUGGUGAAAACAGCAGCGGCCUGCAGCAGCUGGCCUACCACACUGUGAAUCGUCGCUAUCGAGAGUUCUUGAAUCUGCAGACGCGUCUGGAGGAGAAACCAGAUCUACGAAAGUUCACCAAAAAUGUGAAGGGUCCUAAAAAGCUCUUUCCAGAUCUUCCAUUUGGAAAUAUGGACAGUGACAGAGUAGAAGCCCGUAAGAGCCUCCUAGAAUCAUUCCUAAAGCAACUCUGUGCCAUUCCGGAGAUCGCUAACAGUGAGGAGGUGCAGGAGUUCCUUGCUCUGAACACAGAUGCUCGUAUUGCCUUUGUCAAGAAACCAUUUAUGGUCUCUAGAAUAGACAAGAUGGUGGUGAGUGCCAUUGUGGACACCUUGAAGACAGCGUUUCCUCGCUCUGAACCCCAGAGCCCCACAGAGGAGCUGAGUGAGGCCGAGACCGAAAGCAAGUCCCAGACAGAAGGCAAGAAGGCUGGCAAGUCCAGGCUGAGGUUCUCAUCCAGUAAAAUUUCGCCAGCACUAAGUGUGACUGAAGCACAAGACAAGAUUCUGUAUUGUCUCCAGGAAGGCAAUGUGGAGUCCGAGACCCUAUCCAUGUCUGGGAUGGAAUCUUUUGUUGAAAAACAGACAAAGUUACUGGAAAUGCAGCCAACAAAAGCCCCAGAAAAAGAUCCUGAACAGCCCCCUAAAGGACAUGUGGACAGUUGCUUGUCAGAUGCAGCUGUGCCAGCCCAAGACCCCAGCAACAGCGAUCCAGGAACAGAGACAGAGUUAGCUGACACAGCCCUAGAUCUGCUCCUCUUGCUACUAACAGAACAGUGGAAAUGGCUGUGUACCGAAAACAUGCAGAAGUGUCUUCGUCUUAUCUUUGGGACCCUAGUUCAAAGGUGGCUAGAGGUGCAGAUAGCUAAUCUAACAAGUCCACAGCUCUGGGUGCAGUACCUCAGGCUUCUUCAGGAGUCCAUCUGGCCUGGUGGAGUUUUGCCUAAGUUUCCACGGCCUGUAAGGACCCAGGAGCAGAAACUGGCUGCUGAGAAACAGGCUUUGCAGAGCCUGAUGGGAGUCCUCCCAGAUCUCGUAGUAGAAAUUCUUGGGGUGAACAAAUGCCGGGUGAGCUGGGGUCUAGUCUUGGAGUCACUACAACAACCACUCAUCAACAGGCAUUUGAUUUACUGUCUUGGGGACAUCAUCCUGGAAUUCCUGGAUCUCAGUGCCUCUCUUGAGAAGUCUGCUGCUACCACCUCUGCCUUGGAUACCCCAGGCAACUCUAAGAGGAUGGGUGUCUCCUCUUAGCUGGUUAUUCACGCAUUCUUCCCAGUUCAGGGAAGUAGAGUUACUCGGCCACCAAAGACCAUUCAGGAAGCCUGUGCCCUCUUGAAAUAGGCUACAGCUAAGAAGGCCUAGGUUCUCAGUGGCUCGCUUCCCUCCCACUUCUGCUCCAUUUGUAGCAGGUGACAGGGGUCUAUGUGUCCCAGUUGCAUGCACAUUUAUUUCCAUGUUUCUUUUGGAACACUGGGAUUGUUGCUGGUGAGUAGAUCCUGUUUCCUUUGGGAAAAGAAGCUGUGAGGUAGAGGAAUGAGCCCCUUUUGCUUCUCCUUUUGCCAUCCUCCCUGAGAUUGUUUCCCAGAAUCCUGGCCCUGUGCACACAUGUGCUUAAUCCACCAGCACACAAGCUCUGCAUAGAACAGGGAAAAAAACUGUGGCCAGAUUUCCUUGGAGGAGAAAACAACCUUCUGAGCUCUCUGUUCCUAACCGGAAACUAAAAAUUCAUUCAGGGCCAUUCUCACAAACCAGACUCCUGGGUCUAAUCUAGUUUCCCAACAGUUCCAGAAGAAGAAGGAGGGAAGAAAAUUUUUCAAGGAACUUCUUGCUCAUGUGUUGCUGUUUCCCAACACAUCAGCCUUAUGGAAGAUGUCAUGAGGCUGCUUCCUUGGGAGGCUACAUUUUUCCUUUCCAGAAGACUUCAAACUGACUGCCAAAGCUUCUGUAACAGACUCUGCAACCCAGUCCCUGGUGAAAGGGCUCCACACCCACCCGUUUUGUGUGUAUAAUGCUGAGCUAAAGUGGGAAGGAGCAGUAACACCAAAGGAGGCUAAUUCUCUUCCUGUCAGUAUGAGAGAGUCUGUGCCCCAGUAAGUGAAAAGGGAAGGCAUGAAAAGGGAAAAAUCAGCCUUCUGGAAGCACCUUCUUACCACAAGAAAACAGGUGAUUCAGAGUAUCUUCGAGACUCAGCCAGAUUGUGUCUAACUCUUCAGGCAAUAUGAAGGCAGAGAUGGAGCCAUUUCAGAGAACAGAUUUUUUUUUUAAUCAUUUCGUUCUUUGGAAUUGUCACGGGAUUAUGAUGUGGGUUCUCAUAAAAAUUUCCCUCACCCGAAACCCACCCAAAAGAAAGGCAGUGAAAUGGGGAGGAACACACAUUUGCCUGGCCUCAGAAGAACUGCCUUGUAGUCAUGGGUUCUAGUGAUCUUGGACCAAUCUCUUCACUUCCCUGGACUUCAGUUUCUUCCAUACAAAGAAGUUGAACUGGAUCAUAGAAAAGUCGCUGUCCAGCUUGGUAGUAUCAGAUAGGGAGCAGAAGCUGUCUCUUAGUGCAUGGCCAGAUUCCGGAACCACGAUGAUAGACUCCAUGUUUCUCCUAAAAAUGAGUCUCAUCUCAGUAGAGAUUUCUUCCACCUCAUUUGGGUCUCAAUUUAAGGAAGGAAGAAAGGAAAGAAACCUUGGGAUUCUCUUCUUGAAAGGAAUAUACUUGACUUUCUCUAGGCUUCUAGGAUCAAAACUUCCUAUCCUUCAUUUUUCGUCUUUAAACCUGCCAAAAUCAGGUUGACUAAAGAUACUAUACAGAUAUGUAAAAGAAGCUGCAUCCUGAAAUUUUCACGGAGUGCAAGAGCCUGCUCACCGCCAGUUAGCCUUUCCCAGGAUGGUGGUGGCCCUGAUCAUCCAAGUCACACUUUUAUGUUCAUGUCCCACAGCGUUUCCCAUCAGCCAUCUCAUUUCAUCUUUUCAUCAUUCCUCUGAGGAACAGACUUCACACAUGUAUAGGACUUUUUAUAUCACAAAGUAUUUCAUUUCCAAUGUCUUAUUUAGAUCUUGACAAUCACUGUUUAAGGUGAUUUGGCAAGUUAUUAAUACUCAUGUCCUCAUUCUGCUGAAGAGGAAACUGACAUGCAGAGAGUUUGUCUUCUGCCCAAGAUCACUCCCUCCUUUACUGGGAGGCAGCAGCGCAGGGAUUAAGAACAUGGGCUAUGCCGACAGCCAACCAGGUAGAAUCCCAGCUCUGCCAGUGUCCUUAGGAAAGGAUUUCACACUUCUGUGGCUUAGUUUUCUUGUCCAUUAAAUGCUCAUAAGAAUAGUGCUUUCCUCACAGAGAUUGGGUGGGCAAGGGAGCUAAAUGAGCUAAUAUAUUUAAGAACAACCUCUAGCACACAGUGCAUAAUAAAUGUCAUUAUUAUUAGCAAAGCCAGGACCUGGGUCUUCCAGCAUCUAGCUCAGUGGCAUUUCCGCUGCCCUACACCAGGACUAUCCUUUGUAUACAGGUGUGAACCUAAAGCCUUCAGUGUUUCAAUGAAAAGUUCACCUAAGGUCUUUCUGUUCAGUAAGUCUAGAGCUAAGGGCUCCUGGCACUCUGUUCAGUCCUUUUGCUGUUAAACCACACUGCCCUCCGUUGCUGUGGGCAGAAUGUCAGACCUUACGUUUUUAAAAUGUAUAAACCAAGCACUCUUAUUUAAUAUUACUGACAGCCUGAAGGCAGACACUCCCACUCUUCUGGGGAAGGGGGUCUUCUAAUCUGCCAUCUUAAGGAGAUAAAACGGCUUGAUUGGGUAGCUCAUUGCAGUGGGCACAUGUUUAUUACUGUCUCCCAGCCUUUUCUCAUGCUGUUUGUCUGCUGGAAUUGCCACUGGUGCCAGGCCAUUUGAAUAUUUGACCGUUUGUCUUAGAAUUCUCUGAGUACAAAUCUUGUUUUCCAUACCUUUAUUAGGUACUUUUUAAGAAUGAAGACUGCGUUGUAUGUUGCUUUGUACUCUCUCCUGCACAUCAAAAAUGCUUAGUAAAUAGAUAUACAAAUGUU